rnacentral:misc_RNA from 1 species
ACUCAAACACUGUAAUAAAAUUUUUUAAAUUGGACUUAAUCCUGUUAAAAGAAAAUUUUAAUAACAAAUUCUCUCCCUCUCCCCAUCUCUUCCUCUACAAACAACACAUAAAUUACAAAUGAGAGAGGGAGAUUUAACAAUGCAAUAAACAAAUAUUCUAACAUAAACAAAUAUAAAUUUCAAAAGAAGACCCUUUCAAAAUUCUACAACUAUGUAUUAUUUCUACAACUCAGAUACAUUAAUAUGGACUAAACUAUCACAUUUAAAUCAUUAAAAUGAUUGCUAAAAUCAAACAUUUUAUAGAGAGAUCUAAAAUUGUAAAGACAAAUCAGGUUUACUAGAAUAACACACUUAACUAGACAAUUGAUUCGGUGGCUCACUCUUGCCUGCCAAAUAGACUUUGGAUUGCAUCUUCAGCUACCUCCUUUAAGUGUUGCAAAUCUUCACCUACUAAUAGACAUAAGUCUUGAUAUGGGUUGCAUGCUACUCGUAUAACCAAGUAGAUCCAUAAACUUAGAAGUAACACACCAUAGAUGGGAACAUGAAUCAAAGCCGAUAGCACAAUUACCUUACAACCAAAUAGGAGACAAAUAUUUCUAGCACAUGUUCUAUAAUUUAAGUUGGGAUGAGUUUGGAGUACAUGUUCAAAUGCCAUAGCUAUUGCAUAGUUGAUCAGAGUGACCACCAACAUCUUCUUUUUCCAAGAUAGCUGAUCUCCGAGGGAAAACAAUAUUUGAAAGAUAGAUAAUAAUAUUGCAUUAUAUGUCCUGAUUUAUAUGUAUAGAAAAGAAGAGAGAGGAGGAGGAUAUUAAAAAUAGUUAGUUUAAAGAGUAAAAUGUAGAGAUAAACAAAAGCAAUGGAAAAAGUUCGUAUCUUCCGAAGGAAAACAAAAGCAAGCAACAGCAAGGUUCACAGCACAUUUAUCACAUUCAACGUCAAGGUUCAAGCAUCACAAGGCA